rnacentral:rRNA from 1 species
GUAACACGUAGUCAACAUGCCCAGGGGACGUGGAUAACCUCGGGAAACUGAGGAUAAACCGCGAUAGGUCACUACUUCUGGAAUGGGUAAUGACUCAAACCUAUAUGGCCCCUGGAUUGGACUGCGGCCGAUCAGGCUGUUGGUGAGGUAAUGGCCCACCAAACCUGUAACCGGUACGGGCUCUGAGAGGAGGAGCCCGGAGAUGGGCACUGAGACAAGGGCCCAGGCCCUAUGGGGCGCAGCAGGCGCGAAACCUCUGCAAUAGGCGAAAGCCUGACAGGGUUACUCUGAGUGAUCUCCGUUAAGGAGAUCUUUUGGCACCUCUAAAAAUGGUGCAGAAUAAGGGGUGGGCAAGUCUGGUGUCAGCCGCCGCGGUAAUACCAGCACCCCGAGUGGUCGGGACGUUUAUUGGGCCUAAAGCAUCCGUAGCCGGUUCUACAAGUCUUCCGUUAAAUCCAACUGCUUAACAGAUGGGCUGCGGAAGAUACUAUGGAGCU